rnacentral:lncRNA from 1 species
GGCCGCGGUUAAAGUCUUGCCCAAAGCUUGAUUAGAGGCGGAACCCAUCAAAAGGGCUUCAGUUUGGCGGCGUCCUGGCUCCAGAAAGCGCGAAUUUGGAUGCUGGCAGGUAAACGAAGACGCAUCUGCAGUGGAGUUCGGGCGGAGAGGGUAAUGACCCGACAAAUGAAAGCUUUAAGGCACAACCUUGGCUAAGGUAUUUUAGAAGGCGAGCCAGCGUCCACGCCUGACCUACCUUUGCCUCUGAAUCCCGCGCUUUCCCGAAGGUCCCCAUGGGCCAGCGGUUGUCAGGGUAACAAACUUCGGCAGCUGAGCUCCAGAGUCACAGGACCCGGGAUGGUCACGUGGCUAACGGGUACAACGGGGCAGCUAUUGGUUUCCUUGGUCCAUUAGAAGCGAAGAUUGGAACCACCACCCUCAGGAAGAUACCGUGGUCGUCAAGGCGUAGCUGCUUCGCCAGUUUGCGCUCCUUGGGUUUCUCUUUGUUGCUGAAAAAAGUGUGUGGCCGCGAACCGAGUCCUGAAGCGUCGCAACGCAGGCGUAACGUGAAGCCCAGCCCGUGGCUUCCUGGGAGUUGUAGUUUAGCUUCCUCAGGACUCGAACUGUAUUUCCGCCCUUCCUCUCUCCUCCUACCAGUUUUACAACAGCCUUUAUUUUUAAACGCUGUGUCUCCCAAGCGGAAGUUUUCAAGAAUUUUAUUGGAUUUUCUUCACGUACAAAGCCCUGUAUCUGUGGAGCUGCUGUGAGAGGAAGGGCUAAAUGGAGGGCCCUGAAAAUGCCCCACCACCAUUCUAGUGAGUGGUGUUUUUGUGGUAGGUGAUGACAUUGAAUGGACAGUUACAGCAACUAUCACCUGAGAAGAGCAAAGCAAACCUAGAGAAAGAAGGUCUGGGUCACUACAGCAGUGUAUCUAUGGAAAAUCCAGAAGGUUUGACCUUCCAGAGUCAACAGUGUGGAUUUUGCUGACUCCCUACUUAUGAAAGAAAUCUUGUCAUUUAUGGCAACAUGGACGAACUUGGGAGACAUUUAUGUUAAGUGAAAUAAAGCAGGCACGUGAAGCAAAUACUGCAUGAGCUCAUUUACACGUGGAAUCCAAAAGUGUUGAAUUCAUUGAAGCAAAGACUAGAAUGGCAGUUACUAGAGUCUGUGUGAUUUCCUGGGGAGUACAGCACCGAGGUAAUCACCACCGAGGAAAGCGAAAGCAAAAGACGGAGUCAUGGGUUUCAGCCAUAGUCUCGGUUUCACUGGAGCUGUGUCAAGCAGCGAGAUUGUGACCGUGGCCUGUGCCAGCAAGAGAGCCGGAAAGCAGAGG